rnacentral:piRNA from 1 species
UGGCAUCAGCAAUAUUGUCUUGAGUCUGU